AAUGAACGUUGGCGGCAUGGAUUAGGCAUGCAAGUCGAGCGAGAAGAGUUUUGAAGCUUGCUUUAGAACUCGGACAGCGGCGAAAGGGAGAGUAACGCGUAGUUAUGUGCCCUAGGGUCCGGAAUAGCCACGGGAAACUGUGGGUAAUGCCGGAUAAUAUCCCCGGAUCAAAGGUGUGAUUCCGCCCUAGGAGCAGACUGCGUCCUACUAGCUAGUUGGUGGGGUAAUGGCCUACCAAGGCAAUGAUGGGUAGCGGGUGUGAGAGCAUGACCCGUCUCACUGGGACUGAGACACUGCCCAGACACCUACGGGUGGCUGCAGUCGAGAAUCUUCGGCAAUGGGCGAAAGCCUGACCGAGCGAUACCGCGUGCGGGAUGAAGGCCCUCGGGUUGUAAACCGCUGUCGUGGGGGAGGAAGGUUCCGUGAAGAGCGGAAUUUGACCUAUCCUAGGAGGAAGUACGGGCUAAGUUCGUGCCAGCCGCCGCCGUAAAAC
rnacentral:rRNA from 1 species